CCUACGGGAGGCAGCAGUGGGGAAUAUUGGACAAUGGGCGAAAGCCUGAUCCAGCAAUGCCGCGUGAGUGAUGAAGGCCUUAGGGUUGUAAAGCUCUUUUACCCGGAAAACUGUACCGGGAGAAUAAGCCCCGGCUAACUCCGUGCCAGCAGCCGCGGUAAUACGGAGGGGGCUAGCGUUGUUCGGAAUUACUGGGCGUAAAGCGCACGUAGGCGGCUUUGUAAGUUAGAGGUGAAAGCCCGGAGCUCAACUCCGGAAUUGCCUUUAAGACUGCAUCGCUUGAAUCACGGAGAGGUGGGUGGAAUUCCGAGUGUAGAGGUGAAAUUCGUAGAUAUUCGGAAGAACACCAGUGGCGAAGGCGGCCCACUGGCGGUAUUGACGCUGAGGUGCGAAAGCGUGGGGAGCAAACAGGAUUAGAUACCCUUGUAGUC
rnacentral:rRNA from 1 species